rnacentral:tRNA from 1 species
GGGGAUAUAGCUCAAUGGGAGAGCGCCUGCUUUGCAAGCAGGAGGUUAGGGGUUCGAGCCCCCUUAUCUCCAC